UUUGAUCAUGGCUCAGAUUGAACGCUGGCAGGAUGCGCUACACAUGCAAGUCGAACGGCAGCACGGACUUCGGUCUGGUGGCGAGUGGCGAACGGGUGAGUAAUGUAUCGGAACGUGCCUAGUAGCGGGGGAUAACUACGCGAAAGCGUAGCUAAUACCGCAUACGCCCUUCGGGGGAAAGCGGGGGACCUUCCGGGCCUCGCACUAUUAGAGCGGCCGAUAUCGGAUUAGCUAGUUGGUGGGGUAACGGCUCACCAAGGCGACGAUCCGUAGCUGGUUUGAGAGGACGACCAAGCCACACUGGGACUGAGACACAGCCCAGACUCACAGGAGGCAGCAGUGAAAUUUUGGACAAUGGGGGGAAACCUGAUCCAGCCAUCCCGCGUGUGCGAUGAAGGCCUUCGGGUUGUAAAGCACUUUUUGGCAGGAAAGAAACGGCACGGGAUACCCCGUGCCGUUUCUUCACCUUAAAAGUGCACGGCCCGAAGGCUUUCAUCGCACACACGCAGGAUCAGCUGGGGUUUUCCCCGUUGAUCAAAAUUCCCCAUGCGAGUACAGACCGUCUCGGUCUGGUGUGGCCGAUCGUCGUCUCUCAAACCAGCUACGGAUCGUCGCCUUGGACCACCAACGCAGAAAAUUUCCGCGUAUCAAAACAUCUGGUAAAUUUCCCCGAGGCGUAUGCGACGUAUUAACUACGCUUUCGCGCGCUAAAAGUAUUCCGAUACGUCUCACCCGUUCGCCAUACCUUGCCGUUCGACUUUUGCGUGUGUGAAGCUCCGCCAGCGUAAUCUGAGCCGUGAUCUGCCCGCAGUGCUCCCAGG
rnacentral:misc_RNA from 1 species